AAAAGACAUUAUGACUUGUCUUGCUCUCUCAUGGAUCUCUCUCUCUCUGGGAGAAGCCAGCUGCCAGGUCAUGAGGUUACCCAAGCAGCCCUGUGGAGGCACUCUUAUGGGUGCUGUUACUGUUGGCCCAAGAACACAUUUUGAGAAGACUGGCCUAGAGGAACCAAUAAUGUGGGUUUCUUAUGGGCAGGAUGGCACUGGAGAAGAGGGUGAGGCUCAGUGUCUUCUCCCAAAUUUUCAUAUCAAAUAAAACCUCUUUCCCCGGAGAGAAGUAACAAGAGAGGCAGAGGGAAAUGAUUCUAACAGAAGUUCUAGCCACAUGGAAGGAAGCAUUAGCAGUGAGGAAUAACUGUUCUCUCCCUAAACAUACCACCCAAGGUAAUG
rnacentral:lncRNA from 1 species